rnacentral:rRNA from 2 species
CGGAUUGGAGUCUGCAACUCGACUCCAUGAAGUCGGAAUCGCUAGUAAUCGUGGAUCAGAAUGCCACGGUGAAUACGUUCCCGGGCCUUGUACACACCGCCCGUCACACCAUGGGAGUGGGUUGCAAAAGAAGUAGGUAGCUUAACCUUCGGGAGGGCGCUUACCACUUUGUGAUUCAUGACUGGGGUGAAGUCGUAACAAGGUAACCGUAGGGGAACCUGCGGUUGGAUCACCUCCUUACCUUAAAGAAGC